rnacentral:rRNA from 4 species
UAGACCUCUGAUCAGAGAAGACUACCC